rnacentral:rRNA from 1 species
AUUGAACGCUGGCGGCAUGCUUUACACAUGCAAGUCGAACGGUAACAGGGAGCUUGCUCCGCUGACGAGUGGCGAACGGGUGAGUAAUGCGUCGGAACGUGCCGAGUAGUGGGGGAUAACGCAUCGAAAGGUGUGCUAAUACCGCAUACGUACUGAGGUAGAAAGUGGGGGACCUUCGGGCCUCACGCUAUUCGAGCGGCCGACGUCUGAUUAGCUAGUUGGUGAGGUAAAGGCUCACCAAGGCGACGAUCAGUAGCGGGUCUGAGAGGAUGAUCCGCCACACUGGGACUGAGACACGGCCCAGACUCCUACGGGAGGCAGCAGUGGGGAAUUUUGGACAAUGGGGGGCAACCCUGAUCCAGCCAUGCCGCGUGAGUGAAGAAGGCCU